ACAGCAGUCGCCGCGGGAAUACGAAGGGUGCAAGCGUUAAUCGGAAUUACUGGGCGUAAAGCGUGCGUAGGCGGUUUGUUAAGUCUGUUGUGAAAUCCCCGGGCUCAACCUGGGGAUGGCAAUGGAUACUGGCAAGCUAGAGUGUGUCAGAGGAUGGUGGAAUUCCCGGUGUAGCGGUGAAAUGCGUAGAGAUCGGGAGGAACAUCAGUGGCGAAGGCGGCCAUCUGGGACAACACUGACGCUGAGGCACGAAAGCGUGGGGAGCAAACAGGAUUAGAUACCCGCGUAGUCCCUGUCUCUUAUAC
rnacentral:rRNA from 1 species